UCCCCAGACUCCUACGGGAGGCAGCAGUGGGGGAUAUUGCACAAUGGGGGAAACCCUGAUGCAGCGACGCCGCGUGAGUGAAGAAGUAUUUCGGUAUGUAAAGCUCUAUCAGCAGGGACGAAAAUGACGGUACCUGAGUAAGAAGCCCCGGCUAACUACGUGCCAGCAGCCGCGGUAAUACGUAGGGGGCAAGCGUUAUCCGGAUUUACUGGGUGUAAAGGGAGCGUAGGCGGCAGUGCAAGUCAGAAGUGAAAGCCCAAGGCUCAACCAUGGGACUGCUUUUGAAACUGUACAGCUAGAUUGCAGGAGAGGUAAGUGGAAUUCCUAGUGUAGCGGUGAAAUGCGUAGAUAUUAGGAGGAACACCAGUGGCGAAGGCGGCUUACUGGGCUGUAAAUGACGCUGAGGCUCGAAAGCGUGGGGAGCAAACAGGAUUAGAUACCCCCGUA
rnacentral:rRNA from 1 species